rnacentral:rRNA from 1 species
GAUGAACGCUGGCGGCGUGCUUAACACAUGCAAGUCGAGCGAAGCAGUUAAGAAGAUUCUUCGGAUGAUCCUUAACUGACUGAGCGGCGGACGGGUGAGUAACGCGUGGGUGACCUGCCCCAUACCGGGGGAUAACAGCUGGAAACGGCUGCUAAUACCGCAUAAGCGCACAGAGCUGCAUGGCUCGGUGUGAAAAACUCCGGUGGUAUGGGAUGGGCCCGCGUCUGAUUAGGCAGUUGGCGGGGUAACGGCCCACCAAACCGACGAUCAGUAGCCGGCCUGAGAGGGCGACCGGCCACAUUGGGACUGAGACACGGCCCAAACUCCUACGGGAGGCAGCAGUGGGGAAUAUUGCACAAUGGGGGAAACCCUGAUGCAGCGACGCCGCGUGAGCGAAGAAGUAUUUCGGUAUGUAAAGCUCUAUCAGCAGGGAAGAUAAUGACGGUACCUGACUAAGAAGCCCCGGCUAACUACGUGCCAGCAGCCGCGGUAAUACGUAGGGGGCAAGCGUUAUCCGGAUUUACUGGGUGUAAAGGGAGCGUAGACGGCAAGGCAAGUCUGAUGUGAAAACCCAGGGCUUAACCCUGGGACUGCAUUGGAAACUGUCUGGCUCGAGUGCCGGAGAGGUAAGCGGAACUCCUAGUGUAGCGGUGAAAUGCGUAGAUAUUAGGAAGAACACCAGUGGCGAAGGCGGCUUACUGGACGG